AUUGAACGCUGGCGGCAUGCUUUACACAUGCAAGUCGAACGGCAGCACGGACUUCGGUCUGGUGGCGAGUGGCGAACGGGUGAGUAAUACAUCGGAACGUGCCCAGUUGUGGGGGAUAACUACUCGAAAGAGUAGCUAAUACCGCAUGAGAACUGAGGUUGAAAGCAGGGGAUCGUAAGACCUUGCGCAACUGGAGCGGCCGAUGGCAGAUUAGGUAGUUGGUGGGAGAAAAGCUUACCAAGCCGACGAUCUGGAGCUGGUCUGAGAGGACGACCAGCCACACUGGGACUGAGACACGGCCCAGACUCCUACGUGAGGCAGCAGUGGGGAAUUUUGGACAAUGGGCGAUAGCCUGAUCCAGCAAUGCCGCGUGCAGGAUGAAGGCCUUCGGGUUGUAAACUGCUUUUGUACGGAACGAAAAGCUUCGGGUUAAUACCCUGGAGUCAUGACGGUACCGUAAGAAUAAGCACCGGCUAACUACGUGCCAGCAGCAGCCGCCG
rnacentral:rRNA from 1 species